AUUGAACGCUGGCGGCAGGCCUAACACAUGCAAGUCGAACGGUAACAGGAAGAAGCUUGCUUCUUUGCUGACGAGUGGCGGACGGGUGAGUAAUGUCUGGGAAACUGCCUGAUGGAGGGGGAUAACUACUGGAAACGGUAGCUAAUACCGCAUAACGUCGCAAGACCAAAGAGGGGGACCUUCGGGCCUCUUGCCAUCGGAUGUGCCCAGAUGGGAUUAGCUUGUUGGUGGGGUAACGGCUCACCAAGGCGACGAUCCCUAGCUGGUCUGAGAGGAUGACCAGCCACACUGGAACUGAGACACGGUCCAGACUCCUACGGGAGGCAGCAGUGGGGAAUAUUGCACAAUGGGCGCAAGCCUGAUGCAGCCAUGCCGCGCGUAUGAAGAAGGCCUUCGGGUUGUAAAGUACUUUCAGCGGGGAGGAAGGGAGUAAAGUUAAUACCUUUGCUCAUUGACGUUACCCGCAGAAGAAGCACCGGCUAACUCCGUGCCAGCCGCCGCGGUAA
rnacentral:rRNA from 1 species